UAUAGAGCUGGCUUCGAGAACUCUCUUGGGACGAGUUAGGUUCAUAUCAUCUACUGCUUAAAGUAAAAGUGGCAAAUAUAUUACCACAAUGUAAAAGGCAGCAUUGCAGGUGAUGUAUGUGUACACCUUUAAAGCAUCCCUGCUGUAGAUGCUGCUCUUACAGGCAUUUGACCUCCGAAGUGACAACAACCCAUGGCACCUGAAGUCUGACUCGGGCUCCCUAAGUGCAGGCAGCAGUUCAAACCCCCCCCGGGACUGCUCAGAUGAAGAUGGAGCAUCGGCUGCUGCGGCCUGCCAGCUCAGACAUGGUGUUCCUACACAAAGGGAGAGGUCCAGUGCAGCCUUUUCUCCCUUGGAUGCCAAGCAGGUUUGUCUCGGAGGCUGCCGACCACUGUGGCCACCACCCUGAAAUUGAGAGCGUUUUACUCAAGCCUGUGCACAGCAUGAAAUCUGGCAGGUGUCAGCUAAGUGGCUUCCUCUCUGGAGCUACAUGGAGAUGUGUAAACAGACAGCGGUAAAUUUAACAGUGAGCUGACCGCAGAGACAAUCGCUCAUUCCCUCUUGCGUCCAAGUGCUCUGAUCCUCCAGUCCUGAACAGUUUUUCUGUGGUAACUGAAAGAUUAUCACCCCUCUGACCAUCUGAGGAAAACACUGAGGUUUAAUUCACUGUCAGCUGAGAUGAAGCCUAUAGAAGCCAGCACAGAAAGUCCUGAUGUGAUGUCCUUGUCACGUCAAAAGAUCUUGAAAUAACAAAAGCAGUCAAUCAGCGCAGAAGUUCGCAGGCUCAGCAUUGCUUUAACAUAUGGCAAGAUGGAGCACACAUCUGAGGGAGGGAAGGGUUGUACCUGGUAUUUUCCCCAGCCCACAGAGCGCAGCUGUGCCCAUUUACUGCCUUUGGUUCACUAACACCUGGGGAGAGGACAGAAGCACAACUGCCAUGUGCCUCAGGAAGAGGACAGCAAGGACUUCCACCCUCAGGUCAGCCUGGAUACUGCAGCUGCGGGGUGUCCUGUGCUCCGUGGCAGAACCAGCCGGAGCAGCAGGUGCGGUGCCAUUGAUCUUCAUUUGGGUUGGAAGGGUUUUCUUGCUGGAUUUUGGAGAAGGAAUCCGUCAGUGGCACGGCCAUCAAACAGAAGGCAGCAGGAAUAUCCUUGUCAAAGAGAUGUAUGACUAUGCAGACACUCAGGAAGGUGCCAAAAAAUGCAGCUCAGAAGCAGAGGUGGCUACUAUCACCUGUCAAAGCUGAUGGGGUUUUGAGCAGGAGAGGGAAGGAACAGUUAACCAACACAUCUACAUCAAGAACACCGUAGCCUACCUUAAAAUGUGCACAGAGGAAUUUUAAUUAAAGGAUUUGUACAGCUGUGGAAUCCUGAAAUCCUCUAAGUAAUGUGCAAAGGCCUGAGACCUCCCUGGGAACGGCUCUUCAGUAUUCGCAACCUUGAAAACCUACCGAGGAGUUAUUCCAGCAUGAUGUAUUUGAUUCCCAGAUACACGACCUGGAUCAAAGUAUUCUAAAGCAUCAUUGCAGAAGUUAAGGUAUUGCAUUCUUGAGCAGGAGAUGUGGCUGAGAAGACACCCUGAUGGCAGGUCUUGACCUUGUAAAAUGCCUUUAGCGCCAGAUAGAGGUUACCAGGUUUCAGAAUACUUAAACUUACCUUCGAGGUUUUCUUGUGAUCUAGAUGGCUUGUGUCUGAACGUAGUGCAGAAACUGCCUUCAUGUGUUAAUCACUGCUUCCAUAUGUGAAAUAGGUUAGUUUACUCAGGAGAGGCAGCCUUACUCCUUGAGACACCAGUUUUCUCUUGCUACUCAAUAAUUUAAAUAAAAUAAAUUCAUAGCUGAACUGGAAACGCAGAAGUAUCACUGGGAAUUGCAUUUACAACUGCUGUCCUUCCUGGGGCAAGUACCACAGCAACAAAGCAUCAUACACCAACUUGUUUUGACCACGAAAAGA